rnacentral:rRNA from 1 species
UUCUGGCUCAGGAUGAACGCUAGCUACAGGCUUAACACAUGCAAGUCGAGGGGCAGCAUUGGAGUAGCAAUACUUCAGAUGGCGACCGGCGCACGGGUGAGUAACACGUAUCCAACCUGCCGCUUACUCGGGGAUAGCCUUUCGAAAGAAAGAUUAAUACCCGAUGGUAUAAAGAGUUCGCAUGUUCUCUUUAUUAAAGAAUUUCGGUAAGCGAUGGGGAUGCGUUCCAUUAGAUAGUUGGCGGGGUAACGGCCCACCAAGUCUACGAUGGAUAGGGGUUCUGAGAGGAAGGUCCCCCACAUUGGAACUGAGACACGGUCCAAACUCCUACGGGAGGCAGCAGUGAGGAAUAUUGGUCAAUGGACGAGAGUCUGAACCAGCCAAAAGUAGCGUGAAGGAUGACUGCCCUAUGGGUUGUAAACUUCUUUUAUAAGGGAAUAAAGUGAGGGACGUGUCCCUUUUUGUAUGUACCUUAUGAAUAAGGAUCGGCUAACUCCGUGCCAGCCGCGGC